GGGUGCUUAGCUCAGUUGGGAGAGCGCUUGCCUUACAAGCAAGUGGUCAGCGGUUCAAGUCCGUUAGCACCCACCA
rnacentral:tRNA from 1 species